GUGGGUGGCAGGCUGAAAUGCAGAUCUCUGCGCUGUAUAAACAUCAAGGUUGAAGAUUCACCUCGCUCUGAUUUUUUCGGAUGUUAGGAUCCUGCAAAGGUUGUAACUGCUUUGACCAGCCUCUCAUGGCACCUCCAGACAGGCAACCCACACUCCUUGCUUCAGGGACUGCAGCUCGUAUCACCCAGCUAUCUGACCACAGCAGAGGGGAGCUGCAUUGAGAGAGGUGCAGUGAUGUGGGUCCCAGCAGGGGUUGAGGAAAGGCAGUGCCUCUUCCAGAAAGGAAGGAAGUUUCUCCAUCUCUACCCCAAUGGAUCCGUUGAGAGUUCACAUUACCUUCAGCAGUGACCCCCACAAGGCAAUGCGACGGCUGCCCUUUCUCCCCUGCACACAGCUCUGGCCCCCUCACUGCCCUCCCUCCUGUCAGUGGCUGCUCAAGCAGGCACGCAAUGAGCCACCAGCCUGGGGAACUAAAACAUGACAUUUCAGCACUAAAAUUCAAAAUCCAUUUCCUUUCCUUGCUUUACUAUGAGUAAGCCCCAGCUCACCGCAUAGCUGUAUGAAUGCUGACACAAGGGAUGAGGUGCCAGAGGAUAAGAAUGAACGGCCAGGGUUUCAAGGAUGCUGAGAGUGCCUGGGAAACUACAGAUCCCUUGUUCCCCCGUUUCUGUGAGCACAGUGAGCAGGAAGCAGUGCAACUGUGUCUGUGGGUCACAGGAAGAAGCACACUGACCCUGCAGCUCUCUCCAGCUCUGAUCUGAGCAGCUGGAGCUGACUCAGAGCUCUUGAUGCUGGUACUUAGUUUGUCAUUAGAAAACACAGUCAUUUGCUGCUUGACGAGCGGGGGGACAGACGGAUGGAUGGACACUAUGCGUGGGGCUGAAAUAAUCUUUCCAUGGAUUUUAACCCCAUUAUGGUUUUUGAUGGCCAUGCUACUUCAAAGAAACAUAGAAUAUCCCAGGUUGGAAUGGACCCAGGGGGACCGUUGAGUCCAACUCCUGUCCCUUCACAGUACCACACAAAAAAUCAGACCACACGACUGAGAACACUAUCCAAACGCUCCUUGAACUCCAGCACUCAGGGCCGUGCCCACCACCCUGUGGUGCAGCCCCUUUCCCUC
ensembl:lncRNA